rnacentral:lncRNA from 1 species
UACAAUUUAAUCCUUAAUAAAGGGGUAAAAGAAAUUGUAUUUACAUACUCUAAAAAAAAUAUAUAGAUCUUACACUUCUAAUCCUAAAAUUUUCAAAAAUUUAAAUAAUUUUUAAUGAAGUCUAAAAAAAUUGAUCUGAUAAAUUUUAAUAAAAAAAUUAUUAAUUUUUAGAUGAAAUGGGUGUAGGAUAUAUAUUUCACUUUAGAUGUAUUAUUAAUAUUGGGAUAAUUAAACUUCAAAUGCCACCCAUUCAUACUUUCUCAUUUUAAUAUUCUGUGAUGUAAAGUGUAUCAAUUUAGUACUAUAUGAUUUUAUUUUUCUUUUUUUUUUUCAACCCUUUCAUUAAUUUUUCGUUAAAUUAUUUAUAAAAAAUUUCAAAUAAUCCAUUUAUAAUUGAUCGAAUAUUUACUUUAGUAUCCUUUAAUUUUAACUUUAUUAUUGAUUUAACGAAAAAAAAUUAGCGAAGUAAAUAAUAAAAAAAAUAUAAAAUCACAUAGUACGAAAAUAAUACACUUUAAAUCACCGAAUAUUAAAAUAAAAAAAAUAUAAAACUACGAGAAUAUUAUUUAAAGUUUUUCUUAAUAUUACUCAAUAAUUAAAUAAGUAAAUAAAUAAAUAAAUAAACACCU